rnacentral:rRNA from 1 species
CAUAGGUUAAUGAGGCGAACCGGGAGAACUGAAACAUCUCAGUACCCCGAGGAAAAGAAAUCAACCGAGAUUCCCCUAGUAGCGGCGAGCGAACGGGGAGCAGCCCAGAGUCUUAAUCAAUAACAGUGUCAGGAGAACGGUCUGGAAAGUCCGGCAGUAAAGGGUGAUAGCCCCGUAUCUGAAGAUGCUGUUAUUGUGAACUCGACGAGUAGGGCGGGACACGUGUUAUCCUGUCUGAAUAUGGGGGGACCAUCCUCCAAGGCUAAAUACUCCUGAUUGACCGAUAGUGAACCAGUACCGUGAGGGAAAGGCGAAAAGAACCCCGGCGAGGGGAGUGAAAAAGAACCUGAAACCGUGUACGUACAAGCAGUAGGAGCCUCUUUAUGGGGUGACUGCGUACCUUUUGUAUAAUGGGUCAGCGACUUAUAUUCUGUAGCAAGGUUAACCGUAUAGGGGAGCCGUAGGGAAACCGAGUCUUAACUGGGCGAAUGAGUUGCAGGGUAUAGACCCGAAACCCGGUGAUCUAUCCAUGGGCAGGUUGAAGGUUGGGUAACACUAACUGGAGGACCGAACCGACUAAUGUUGAAAAAUUAGCGGAUGACUUGUGGAUGGGGGUGAAAGGCCAAUCAAACCGGGAGAUAGCUGGUUCUCCCCGAAAGCUAUUUAGGUAGCGCCUCGUGAACUCAUCUUCGGGGGUAGAGCACUGUUUCGACUAGGGGGUCAUCCCGACUUACCAACUCGAUGCAAACUGCGAAUACCGAAGAAUGUUAUCACGGGAGACACACGGCGGGUGCUAACGUCCGUCGUGAAGAGGGAAACAACCCAGACCGCCAGCUAAGGUCCCAAAGUCAUGGUUAAGUGGGAAACGAAGUGGGAAGGCUCAGACAGCCAGGAUGUUGGCUUAGAAGCAGCCAUCAUUUAAAGAAAGCGUAAUAGCUCACUGGUCGAGUCGGCCCGCGCGGAAGAUGUAACGGGGCUAAACCAUGCACCGAAGCUGCGGCAGCGA